rnacentral:tRNA from 1 species
AUUUCUUUAGUAUUAAUUAGUACGAUUGACUUCCAAUCAAUUAGAUUCGGCCCAACCCGAAAAGAAAUA